rnacentral:rRNA from 1 species
GACGAACGCUGGCGGCGUGCUUAACACAUGCAAGUCGAACGGAAAGGCCCUGCUUUUGUGGGGUGCUCGAGUGGCGAACGGGUGAGUAACACGUGAGUAACCUGCCCUUGACUUUGGGAUAACUUCAGGAAACUGGGGAUAAUACCGGAUAGGAGCUCCUGCUGCAUGGUGGGGGUUGGAAAGUUUCGGCGGUUGGGGAUGGACUCGCGGCUUAUCAGCUUGUUGGUGGGGUAGUGGCUUACCAAGGCGUUGACGGGUAGCCGGCCUGAGAGGGUGACCGGCCACAUUGGGACUGAGAUACGGCCCAGACUCCUUCGGGAGGCAGCAGUGGGGAAUAUUGCACAAUGGGCGGAAGCCUGAUGCAGCAACGCCGCGUGCGGGAUGACGGCCUUCGGGUUGUAAACCGCUUUCGCCUGUGACGAAGCGUGAGUGACGGUAAUGUGUAAAGAAGCACCGGCUAACUACGUG